rnacentral:lncRNA from 1 species
UACAAAAGAAAAAAAAAAAAAAAACCUAGCCACCACCAAAACAUUCUCUCUGCCGCUCGUCUCUACCGCCGGACAUUGAAGCAAUCGCAUACUUGUCUACCACCAGUAAGAAAUCCUUUGCUGGACACCAUCUCAAGUCGGUUUCUUGUGGUUUAACAUCUUCACCAUCUUCUUCCCAAACUAGAUUUAUAAAAGAAGAGGUUGAGAUUAUCACCCAUGAUGUGGCACGACACGAGAGAGGCUACGGAUAAUGAUAUAUAUAUUUUGUUGAUGCCGAAGUUUUAUAGCGAGUUAGGUAUUUCGUUAGUUUAGCUUUGUGUAUAGAUUAUAUGUAGUUUGUUAUGCAUUCAACAAAGUAUUGUAAUUUGACGGGUUUAUUUCCGAAUUGCAUGUGUAUUGGGUUGAUUUGAAAAUGUUCUAUUGGUGUAUAUAAGCUUGAUUUGUACAGGUUUGGUAUAUGUAAGCUUGAUGU